rnacentral:misc_RNA from 4 species
AACGCACAUUGCGCCCCUUGGUAUUCCAUGGGGCAUGCCUGUUCGAGCGUCAUUUGUACCCUCAAGCUCUGCUUGGUGUUGGGUGUUUGUCCCGUUUUACGCGUGGACUCGCCUUAAAGCAAUUGGCAGCCGGCAUAUUGGUCUUGGAGCGCAGCACAUUUUGCGCUUCGAGUCAUAAUUGUUGGCGUCCAUUAAGCCUAUACAUUUGCUCUUGACCUCGGAUCAGGUAGGGAUACCCGCUGAACUUAA